UUUUGUAUAAUGGGUCAGCGACUUAUAUUCUGUAGCAAGGUUAACCGAAUAGGGGAGCCGAAGGGAAACCGAGUCUUAACUGGGCGUUAAGUUGCAGGGUAUAGACCCGAAACCCGGUGAUCUAGCCAUGGGCAGGUUGAAGGUUGGGUAACACUAACUGGAGGACCGAACCGACUAAUGUUGAAAAAUUAGCGGAUGACUUGUGGCUGGGGGUGAAAGGCCAAUCAAACCGGGAGAUAGCUGGUUCUCCCCGAAAGCUAUUUAGGUAGCGCCUCGUGAAUUCAUCUCCGGGGGUAGAGCACUGUUUCGGCAAGGGGGUCAUCCCGACUUACCAACCCGAUGCAAACUGCGAAUACCGGAGAAUGUUAUCACGGGAGACACACGGCGGGUGCUAACGUCCGUCGUGAAGAGGGAAACAACCCAGACCGCCAGCUAAGGUCCCAAAGUCAUGGUUAAGUGGGAAACGAUGUGGGAAGGCCCAGACAGCCAGGAUGUUGGCUUAGAAGCAGCCAUCAUUUAAAGAAAGCGUAAUAGCUCACUGGUCGAGUCGGCCUGCGCGGAAGAUGUAACGGGGCUAAACCAUGCACCGAAGCUGCGGCAGCGACGCUUAUGCGUUGUUGGGUAGGGGAGCGUUCUGUAAGCCUGUGAAGGUGUACUGUGAGGUAUGCUGGAGGUAUCAGAAGUGCGAAUGCUGACAUAAGUAACGAUAAAGCGGGUGAAAAGCCCGCUCGCCGGAAGACCAAGGGUUCCUGUCCAACGUUAAUCGGGGCAGGGUGAGUCGACCCCUAAGGCGAGGCCGAAAGGCGUAGUCGAUGGGAAACAGGUUAAUAUUCCUGUACUUGGUGUUACUGCGAAGGGGGGACGGAGAAGGCUAUGUUGGCCGGGCGACGGUUGUCCCGGUUUAAGCGUGUAGGCUGGUUUUCCAGGCAAAUCCGGAAAAUCAAGGCUGAGGCGUGAUGACGAGGCACUACGGUGCUGAAGCAACAAAUGCCCUGCUUCCAGGAAAAGCCUCUAAGCAUCAGGUAACAUCAAAUCGUACCCCAAACCGACACAGGUGGUCAGGUAGAGAAUACCAAGGCGCUUGAGAGAACUCGGGUGAAGGAACUAGGCAAAAUGGUGCCGUAACUUCGGGAGAAGGCACGCUGAUAUGUAGGUGAAGCGACUUGCUCGUGGAGCUGAAAUCAGUCGAAGAUACCAGCUGGCUGCAACUGUUUAUUAAAAACACAGCACUGUGCAAACACGAAAGUGGACGUAUACGGUGUGACGCCUGCCCGGUGCCGGAAGGUUAAUUGAUGGGGUUAGCGGUAACGCGAAGCUCUUGAUCGAAGCCCCGGUAAACGGCGGCCGUAACUAUAACGGUCCUAAGGUAGCGAAAUUCCUUGUCGGGUAAGUUCCGACCUGCACGAAUGGCGUAAUGAUGGCCAGGCUGUCUCCACCCGAGACUCAGUGAAAUUGAACUCGCUGUGAAGAUGCAGUGUACCCGCGGCAAGACGGAAAGACCCCGUGAACCUUUACUAUAGCUUGACACUGAACAUUGAGCCUUGAUGUGUAGGAUAGGUGGGAGGCUUUGAAGUGUGGACGCCAGUCUGCAUGGAGCCGACCUUGAAAUACCACCCUUUAAUGUUUGAUGUUCUAACGUUGGCCCCUGAUCGGGGUUGCGGACAGUGUCUGGUGGGUAGUUUGACUGGGGCGGUCUCCUCCUAAAGAGUAACGGAGGAGCACGAAGGUUGGCUAAUCCUGGUCGGACAUCAGGAGGUUAGUGCAAUGGCAUAAGCCAGCUUGACUGCGAGCGUGACGGCGCGAGCAGGUGCGAAAGCAGGUCAUAGUGAUCCGGUGGUUCUGAAUGGAAGGGCCAUCGCUCAACGGAUAAAAGGUACUCCGGGGAUAACAGGCUGAUACCGCCCAAGAGUUCAUAUCGACGGCGGUGUUUGGCACCUCGAUGUCGGCUC
rnacentral:rRNA from 1 species